UUACGGCCAUAUAUCGUUGAAACGCCGGUUCCCGUACGAUCACAGAAGUUAAGCAACGUCAAGCAUGGUCAAUAGAUAUAUGACCGCUUGGGAAUGCCAGGUGGUGUAAG